CUCCUUCCCCAAAAAGUUUUUGAAGUCCCCAGCGAACUAAACACGUGUCGCUGCCAAACAGGAGACACGCCCGAAACCCUCCAGUCCCAAAGCUUUUUCCCCUCCCGUGAAGGCCUGGAUUUGAAUGGGACGCCAUCGCCCGGGGAGUUCAACCUGCACCAGGAGGCACGCCCACUCGCCGCCCCCGGCCCCGCCCGUGCCCGGGUGCAGCCAUCGCGAAGGUCCAUACCAUGAAACUGUGAUGGAACCUGAACACUCCUGAGGCAAACAGGGAUUUGUGCUCACGAAUGUGGGAUCCCACAUUCCUCAAUCAAAGGACUGCUGGAAAUCAGACGUUAAAGGAAAGAAGUGUUACCUUCUGCCAGAAGGAAGAGGAAAGCAAUCACUGAGUGGAGACUUCCUUAUGACCUGGUCCCUGAGUGAGGAUGGCAGGAACAUAGCCACCCUUCAACCCGUGAUGGACAUGGAGCAUAAGUGAGAAAUAAACCUUUAUGUAAGCCACUGAGAGUUAGGGAUACAGUGUGCAUUUUUGUAAUCUCAGCAUACCAACUCUACCGUAGGGUAUAUCUACCCCAGGGCUGGAGGAUACAGCAUUACAGCAUUGUCUCAUAAGAUCUCUGUUAUGAACUGAUGUUUGUAUGCCCCUCCCCCCCCCAUUUCAUAUGUAGAUGCCCUAACCCCAUGGGUUGUAUGUUUGCAGAUGGGGCUUUUGGGAGGUAAUUAAGUUUAGAUGAAGUUAUGAGUGUGUGGGCCUCAUGAUGGAAUUGGUCCCCUUAUGAGAAGAUACCAGAGAGCACUCUCUUCAUCUCUCUCCACCAAGUGAGGACACAGUGAGAAGGUGGCCAUCUGCAAGCUACGAAGAGAAUCCUCAUCAGACUCCAACCAUGCUGGCACCCAGAUCUUGGACUUCGCAGCCUCCAGAACUAGGAGA